rnacentral:rRNA from 1 species
UAGGGAAUAUUGCACAAUGGAGGAAACUCUGAUGCAGCGACGCCGCGUGAGUGAUGAAGGCCUUCGGGUCGUAAAGCUCUGUCGCAGGGGAAUAACACAAUGAAUGUACCCUGUAAGAAAGGAUCGGCUAACUUCGUGCCAGCAGCCGCGGUAAGACGAGGGAUCCUAGCGUUGUUCGGAAUCAUUGGGCGUAAAGCGGGUGCAGGUGGCUAUGUAAGUCAGGUGUGAAAGCCUGGGGCUCAACCCCAGAAGUGCAUUUGAUACUGCGUAGCUUGAGUGCUAGAGAGGAUAGUAGAAUUCUUGGUGUAGUGGUGAAAUACGUAGAUAUCAAGAGGAAUACCGGUGGCGAAGGCGGCUAUCUGGCUAGACACUGACACUCAGACCCGAAAGUGCGGGGAUC